rnacentral:rRNA from 1 species
CCUACGGGUGGCAGUAGUGGGGAAUAUUGCACAAUGGGGGAAACCCUGAUGCAGCGACGCCGCGUGAGCGAUGAAGUAUUUCGGUAUGUAAAGCUCUAUCAGCAGGGAAGAAAAUGACGGUACCUGACCAAGAAGCCCCGGCUAACUACGUGCCAGCCGCCGCGGUAAUACGUAGGGGGCAAGCGUUAUCCGGAUUUACUGGGUGUAAAGGGAGCGUAGACGGCGGUGCAAGCCAGAUGUGAAAGCCCGGGGCUCAACCCCGGGACUGCAUUUGGAACUGUGUGGCUGGAGUGUCGGAGAGGCAGGCGGAAUUCCUAGUGUAGCGGUGAAAUGCGUAGAUAUGAGGAGGAACACCAGUGGCGAAGGCGGCCUGCUGGACGGUGACUGACGCUGAGGCUCGAAAGCGUGGGGAGCAAACAGGAUUAGAUACCCGUGUAGUC